GUCAGUGUGUAGUGUUGCUUCUGUACACUGUGGAAGUCUCUGCCCCAGGAGCAAGACAAAACUGAGGGGCUGCUCUGAAAGUAAUGCCUCCUAUUUUAUGAUGUUGGCUCAUGAUGUCAGAGGUGGAUGUUGGUGGUACGACAGUAGAGGCUGAAUCUUUCCAUCAAGAUUCUCUCACCGUUUUUUUGCUGUGACAGAUGGCAGCAGAGGAGCAGUCUGACAAAAUGGCACCUGACAUGGAAGAACAAAUGAAUUUGGGUGAGCCUUUUUAUCUGCAAAUGGAACUUUGCUUCAGAAAUUCCUGCAUUGGUUUACUUUUAAGGAUGUCUCUGAGACUUCAAACCAGUUAUUAAGGUAAGGAAAUUGGUUGGCUAAUUUCUGUCUGUUUUCCUUCCUUUAUUGAGCCUUUAAUAAAAAAAAUAGAACAUUUUGCAGGCAGUGAUAUGAAACACAGGCAGAGGGCUGAACCUCCUUAUAUUGUAUGACAAUUUACUCAUGUUAUAACUCCCUGUCUUCCCUCCCUCCAUUCUCCAAUUAUUGAAUUAAUUGAUUACAAUUUAUAACAACCUGGAGAGUGACUAAUGUAAGAAUGAAGCUGUUCAAACAAGAAUUCAGGGAAAUUCCAUGUCUUAUCUUAUGAGGAGAGUAAGCAGAGAGAACCACAAUGCAGCAAUAGAUUUAUCCCUUAUGUAUUGUUUCAUAUGAUAUUUCUGCUCAACUUUAAACAACAAAAGACCGAAUAUCCACUCAGUGCCUUUAAGUUCAAUGGUAGCAGCAGGCACAUAAUCAUUAGUGAUGAAUAAUUGGGCCCCUAAUAGCUCACAGAAAACAGAAGCUGGCCCCUUACACUGACGACAUCUAAUCGAUUAGCAAGCUACUUAUAUGCAUAAUUACAUGUUUUGCUUUGAAAAAGCAACCAGAAAUUCUGUUGACACAACUUAUAAAGCAUAUGGUUAUAUGUAUCUUCUACCCAACUUCACACGCUUGUCUCAUUUAUGAGAACAUUUGUUGUCUUGUUUCUUCACAAGCAUAUGGAUGUAGGAUAAUUGCACAUAACAACUUGUUGUUUUAUAUAUUUUCUCCUUUCUUAUAUCUUCUGCCCCUUAAUUUCAUGACACGAUAUCCAGGAAGUGAAGUGAUUCAGGACUAAGCCAGAACUGGACAGAGGGUUUCCUGGAGCUAGUGAUGCUAGACCUAAAAUAAGGGACAUGAUUCUUGUAGGCAUCCAGGUGACACUGAACACUGCAAUAGUUUGCAUGUAGUUCUAUCUCAGAGCCUCUGGUGUGGCCAAACAGCACUGAGAAAGGAAAGAAGAUGGAGAAUGAGUUGUGACUCUCUCAGAAGCCCUGUUUAUAUGGACAAAGGGAAGGAAAAUGAUAUAAUCUACCUGGCCUUCAGCAUGACCUUUGACAUGAUCUCCUACCACAUCCUUAUCUCUAAAUUGGAGAGAGAUAGAUUUGAA